rnacentral:rRNA from 1 species
CCUACGGGCGGCUGCAGUGAGGAAUAUUGGUCAAUGGGCGCGAGCCUGAACCAGCCAAGUCGCGUGAAGGAUGACGGUCCUAUGGAUUGUAAACUUCUUUUGUGCAGGCAUAAAGUGAGGAACGUGUUCCUUUUUGUAUGUACUUUACGACUAAGCAUCGGCUAACUCCGUUCCAGCAGCCGCGGUAAUACGGAGGAUGCGGGCGUUAUCCGGAUUUAUUGGGUUUAAGGGGUGCGGAUAAGUCAGUAGUGAAAGUGUGCAGCUUAAAUGUAAAAUUGCCAUUGAAACUGUUAGUCUUGAGUGCAAAUGAGGUAGGCGGAAUGUGUUGUGUAGCGGUGAAAUGCUUAGAUAUAACACAGAACUCCGAUUGCGAAGGCAGCUUACUGGGAUGCAACUGACGCUGAUGCACGAAAGCGUGGGUAUCAAACAGGAUUAGAUACCCGAGUAGUC